CCUAGACCUCAAAGGAGAGAAGCUGGAUUAUAAAUCAUGUGAAUCUCUGGAGGAGAUCUUUAAGAGGGUGCAGUUUAAAGUGGUGGAUCUGGAACAGACAAACUUAGAUGAGGA